rnacentral:rRNA from 1 species
GACGAGACUCCAUCCGUGAAACUUAAAGCUUACGAAGCAAGCUCUCGCAAAAAGUWACCGAACUGAGCUCCAGAGAAAGAGCGCGAGGCGGCGGUAGCGCUUGCCUUGGCUGCUUUGCGCGGAGGCACGAGAGCGAUAUCCGGGGAGAAGGAGCGAGGGGGAGCGAGAGCGGCGGUAGCAGUUCUUCGCUUGCUUUCAAGUACACUCUCUCUCAAUACCUUCUCCUCUUCCUCUCACCUAACGCGCUUCGGCUCAGCCUUGCGGUGCCGCGCGCGCUAGCUUUGGAGAGCUAGCAGAGGGUAAGCGAGUAGUAGUUUCGCGCUAGUCCCUUAGGCCGGGGCUUCCUCCUGGCGGCCUUGAGGGUUCUGGGCUACAAGCGCCUAGACAAUCGGACGGGAGUCGGUCCGCACCGGGCCCUUACCCUAGGA